AGGAGUUUGGUAUCUGGCUCAGAUUGAACGCUGGGCGGCAUGCCUUACACAUGCAAGUCGAACGGCAGCACGGAGCUUGCUCUGGUGGCGAGUGGCGAACGGGUGAGUAAUAUAUCGGAACGUACCCUAGAGUGGGGGAUAACGUAGCGAAAGUUACGCUAAUACCGCAUACGAUCUAAGGAUGAAAGUGGGGGAUCGCAAGACCUCAUGCUCGUGGAGCGGCCGAUAUCUGAUUAGCUAGUUGGUAGGGUAAAAGCCUACCAAGGCAUCGAUCAGUAGCUGGUCUGAGAGGACGACCAGCCACACUGGAACUGAGACACGGUCCAGACUCCUACGGGAGGCAGCAGUGGGGAAUUUUGGACAAUGGGCGAAAGCCUGAUCCAGCAAUGCCGCGUGAGUGAAGAAGGCCUUCGGGUUGUAAAGCUCUUUUGUCAGGGAAGAAACGGUGAGAGCUAAUAUCUUUUGCUAAUGACGGUACCUGAAGAAUAAGCACCGGCUAACUACGUGCCAGCAGCCGCGGUAAUACGUAGGGUGCAAGCGUUAAUCGGAAUUACUGGGCGUAAAGCGUGCGCAGGCGGUUUUGUAAGUCUGAUGUGAAAUCCCCGGGCUCAACCUGGGAAUUGCAUUGGAGACUGCAAGGCUAGAAUCUGGCAGAGGGGGGUAGAAUUCCACGUGUAGCAGUGAAAUGCGUAGAUAUGUGGAGGAACACCGAUGGCGAAGGCAGCCCCCUGGGUCAAGAUUGACGCUCAUGCACGAAAGCGUGGGGAGCAAACAGGAUUAGAUACCCUGGUAGUCCACGCCCUAAACGAUGUCUACUAGUUGUCGGGUCUUAAUUGACUUGGUAACGCAGCUAACGCGUGAAGUAGACCGCCUGGGGAGUACGGUCGCAAGAUUAAAACUCAAAGGAAUUGACGGGGACCCGCACAAGCGGUGGAUGAUGUGGAUUAAUUCGAUGCAACGCGAAAAACCUUACCUACCCUUGACAUGGCUGGAAUCCUCGAGAGAUUGGGAGGCUCGAAGAAAAAC
rnacentral:rRNA from 1 species